rnacentral:rRNA from 1 species
GACAGAGGGUGCAAACGUUGCUCGGAAUCAUUGGGCGUAAAGGGUGCGUAGGCGGCGCGGUAAGUCGGGUGUGAAAUCUCGGAGCUUAACUCCGAAACUGCAUUCGAUACUGCCGUGCUUGAGGACUGGAGAGGAGACUGGAAUUUACGGUGUAGCGGUGAAAUGCGUAGAUAUCGUAAGGAAGACCAGUGGCGAAGGCGGGUCUCUGGACAACAACUGACACUGAGGCACGAAAGCGUGGGGAGCAAACAGG